AUUGAACGCUGGCGGCAUGCCUUACACAUGCAAGUCGAACGGUAACAGGUUAAGCUGACGAGUGGCGACCGGGUGAGUAAUGUAUCGGAACGUGCCCAGUCGUGGGGGAUAACUGCUCGAAAGAGCAGCUAAUACCGCAUACGACCUGAGGGUGAAAGCGGGGGAUCGCAAGAACUCGCGCGAUUGGAGCGGCCGAUAUCAGAUUAGGUAGUUGGUGAGGUAAAGGCUCACCAAGCCGACGAUCUGUAGCUGGUCUGAGAGGACGACCAGCCACACUGGGACUGAGACACGGCCCAGACUCCUACGGGAGGCAGCAGUGGGGAAUUUUGGACAAUGGGCGCAAGCCUGAUCCAGCCAUGCCGCGUGCGGGAAGAAGGCCUUCGGGUUGUAAACCGCUUUUGUCAGGGAAGAAAAGGUUCUGGCUAAUACCUGGGACUCAUGACGGUACCUGAAGAAUAAGCACCGGCUAACUACGUG
rnacentral:rRNA from 1 species